CGUGUUGUAUUAUGUAUUAAUGGGUGUUACAAUAAAGAUGUUACUUCUUGUAGCUAUAGUGAUAAACGACUUACGGAAUAGGUUUUAUGGACCAGGGGGCGGUACCCUGCGUCUCCGCCAUUGAGUUAAGUAUGGGGACGAAAUAGGUUCGACAUAUUGCGAUAAAGGUAUAUCUUUCACUCGGCAUUGUCCCGUCGUUAUUGGGCUGAUAAAAAAUAAAUGCUAAUCGUAACAGAAGAAGCAAAAAACUCGCGGGUAACCUUAACAGGAAGUCCGCUGCAAAAAAGGCCGCCUAAUCUGCCCGUGAUGGGAUUUUAAGCAUCUUUUUUGCUUGCUGUUUUAAACAGUAGAGUUGGCGGUUUGGGGGACUCCGAGCAACAGAAUUCCCCCGUU
rnacentral:tmRNA from 1 species